rnacentral:rRNA from 1 species
GACAUAGGGUGCAAGCGUUGUUCGGAAUUACUGGGCGUAAAGCGUGUGUAGGCGGCCACGUAAGUCGGAUGUGAAAGCCCCAGGCUCAACCUGGGAAGUGCACUCGAUACUGCGUGGCUUGAGUAUCGGAGAGGUUGGUGGAAUUCUCGGUGUAGAGGUGAAAUUCGUAGAUAUCGAGAGGAACACCGGUGGCGAAGGCGGCCAACUGGACGAAUACUGACGCUGAGACACGAAAGCGUGGGGAGCAAACAGG